CCUACGGGCGGCUGCAGUGGGGAAUAUUCCACAAUGGGGGAAACCCUGAUGCAGCAACGCCGCGUGAGUGAUGACGGCCUUCGGGUUGUAAAGCUCUGUCUUCAGGGACGAUAAUGACGGUACUUGAGGAGGAAGCCACGGCUAACGACGUGCCAGGAGCCGCGGUAAUACGUAGGUGGCGAGCGUUGUCCGGCUUUACUGGGCGGAAAGGGAGCGUAGGCGGACUUUUAAGGGCGAGGUGAAAUACUCGGGCUCAACUUGAGUGCUGCAUUUCAAACUGGAAGUCUAGAGUGCAGGAGAGGAGAAUGGAAUUCCUAGUGAAGCGGUGAAAUGCGUAGAGAUUAGGAAGAACACCAGUGGCGAAGGCGAUUCUCUGGACUGUAACUGACGCUGAGGCUCGAAAGCGUGGGGAGCAAACAGGAUUAGAUACCCUUGUAGUC
rnacentral:rRNA from 1 species